AAAAUAAUAUUUUUUUUCAUUUCUCCCUUUUGCCUCCAUACAGUUGGACCUUUGCCCUCACCUAGGGUUUUUCACUGAACCCAUAAAUUCAAUUUUUUGUUUGUCUUCAAAAUAUCCAAAAAAUAAAUCUUGAAUAUAUUUUAAUCUAUAGUUAUUUCUUGGUUUGCUGAAAAUCUGUGUUAUUUUAUGUCUAUAUAUAUCUUUUAGGACUAAAAAAAGGAUUCUGUUUCUGCUGCUGAAUCAGAAGAGAAGUUAAUUGGAGAUCUCAUAAAGAUGGAAAGCAAGAGGGAUGGAAAUGAUGAAUCCUUUGUUUUAAUCAAGCAAGGAGCUGAGGCUCGGGUUUUUGAGUCAACAUUUGUGGGUAGAAGAUGUAUCAUCAAGGAACGGUUUUCAAAGAAAUACAGGCAUCCAACUUUGGACUCAAAACUUGUUCUUAAAGGGUUGAAUGCGGAGGCAAGGUGUGUGGCAAAAGCCAGACGGCUUGGUGUUGCUACUCCAGUGCUUUAUGCUGUUGACCAUGUUAUGCAUACUCUCACCUAUGAAUAUAUUGAAGGUCCUUCUGUGAAAGAUAUAUUUCUUGUCUUUGGACUAGUAGGUGUUGAUGAAGAACAGAUGGUUGAUAUUGCAACGCAAAUUGGUAAUGCAAUUGGAAAACUACACGAUGGUGGCUUAGUCCAUGGCGAUUUGACAACAUCAAACAUGUUACUGAGGAGUGCUGCCGAUCAGCUGGUUCCUCAAUGGGAUUAUUUUUUUAUCAAUGAUACUUUUUCUCUAGGUGUUGAUCGACUUUGGCUUAAGCUUUACUUCAACGCUUCCAGAAGAUAAAGCAGUUGAUUUAUAUGUACUAGAACGUGCUUUACUCUCUAUGCACUCUUCUUGUGGAGAUGUGAUGGACCGGAUACUUGCUGCAUAUAGGAAGUCCUCGAAGCAGUGGUCAUCAACCUUGAACAAGCUAGCCCAAGUGAGGCAAAGAGGAAGAAAACGCACAAUGCUUGGUUGAGCUUCCCUAAUUCUGGACUCCACGUUAAGAGAAGAAAAAAAAAUCAGAUGCCAUGGAGAAAGGAGAAACCAAAAAAUUUGCUCAUUGCAAAGAUCAAUCUGUAUUUGUUUCUGUCUUGAUUAUUGUCGGUGUGGCUGAUGCUGUUGCCUAUUUGAAUUUAUACGUCUACGAUUUUCUGUAUUUUUAUUCAACUAUAACCAUCUGCGAGGUAUUUUUACUUCCCAUAAAAA